rnacentral:lncRNA from 1 species
GCACAAGGUGUCCCAGUCAGCAAAGGCAAAUUUCCCAAGAAGGUGACUUACUAUUUGGGCCAUUCACAGAAGCAGCAGAGGACCUAGGAGCCAGAGACCUAAUCAUCAAAAGGAUCCAGGGGACCUGGGUGUGGCACCUCUGCUGCCCAGCUACUUUCUUAACAGGGGUGACGGCCAGCGUCUCAUUGGGGGGUUCUUCUUCCUGCAGAGGAGGGUGUAAGCCACCUGGAAACUUCAAGUCUCAAAUAAUUAGUGAAGAACAAAACGCAAAGAGUCAGAAAUAUAUUCACAAAAAGCAGAGCCCCUGGCAGAUCUAGGCCACACGGGCGCUGGCACCGGACAAAGGAAAGAUGGGGUGGUGGUUUAUUUAAGGGGGAACAUCCAAGGCAGGGGUAAGGGCUCAAAGGCGGAGUCUUGCUUCAUGGUGUCCUGCAGUGGGCAGGGUGAUGGGCAUCUUGGCAGGUCCCACCCAUCUCAGGUCCAGUGUGGGGUCGCCGGCAGAGCUUGAGGAGGAAGUGCAUCCGUAUCAGGUGGUCAGUCCCUGUGGGUGCCACGGGGAGUUCCCGGUGCCAGACGUACCCCUCAGGAGGGUGCGAUGCCCAACACCGUCCACACAGCCCACGGGCAGCUCUCAACCCUUUUCCUUGUUUUGAAGAAAACAAAGGUUGACGUUCUGGGCAGAUGACACCACAGGACAAGAAAGUUUCCGAUCAAUGUUUUAGGCUUUGAAGGCCAUGUGGUCCUGUCACGAUGACCUAACUGUGUCCUUCUGGCACUCAAGCAAGCCUGGACAACAGGAAAAUGAGUGGAUGCAUCCAUGUUCCUGGAAGGCUUUGUUCACUACAACUGUCAAUUUGGCCUCUGGGCCACGGUUGGCAGGUCCCUGCAGACUCUCCUGCCAGGUCAGCAACCUCGACCACUUGGUGCUGGCCAGUGUGUGAACACUCCUCUAAGAAGCCAAAUUUGACCUGUUGCAGCCCCUCUCGUGAGUUUUCAAGGCACAAGCUGGGACCCCCAAGACAGAAGCUCAGACUGGUAGCUCAAGUUUUUUGUCCAAUUUUGAAACAAACUAUGUUAAGUCCAGGGUUUAAUCUCUCUAUGGAGCCUGAACACAUCACUGAAAUCUUCAGGAGAUGGAAAACAUAACUUGGUGGUUUGCAAAGAUGACACCAUCCCCAGCAAAAGAAUGCUCUUGAAUCCCUGCCUCACACCAUAUAAAACAACUGAACUCAGAGUGGGUCAAAGAGUUAAUUAAGCACAAGAGCUAAAACUAUAAAAUUCUUAUAAGAAAAUGUAGAGGUGAAUCUUUGCAAAACUAGGAUUAAGCAAUGGCUGAUUGUAGAUAUGACACCUAGACCGUGAACAACCAAAGAAAAUAAUAAAUAGAGCUUCAUCAAAAUUAAAAACUGGUGCAUCAAGUAAAAGUGUGAUGUUUAAUUUUAUGUCCACAUGGGUACUCUACAGGAUCCAGUUAUUUAAGAAAAACAUUAGUCUAGAUAUUACUGUGAGGGUGCUUUGUAGAUGUGAUUAACAUCUAUAGUCAGUUGAUAUUAAGUGAGGAUUAUUUUCAGCAUUGUAGGUGGGCCUCCCCCAAUCAGUUGAAGACCUUGAUGGCAAGAUCUGAGGGUUAUGGGAGAAAAACAAAAAUUCUCUCUCAAGACUAUAGCAUCAAUUCUAUCUGAGAUUCUAGCCUGCUGGCCUGUCAUGAAAUUCAGACUUGCCAGUUCCCACAGUUGUGUGAGACAGUUCAUUAAAACAGGUCUUUUAUGUUUUUUAAAAUUGUUUCUAUUGCUUCUGUUUUUCUGGGGAAUCCUGACGGAUUUAGACACUCAAGACAAUCCACGGGAAGGAAAAAUAUUUGUAAAUCGUAUACUGAUAAGAGUCUACUGUCCAGAAUAUAAAGAACUCAUAAUUCGACAGCAAAACAUAAUAAUAAUGAUAAUGAUAAUGACCUAGCUGGAAAAUAGGCAAAUGGAUUGAACAUACAUUUCUGCAAAGAAGAUAUGCAAAUAGCGAAUGAGUCCGUGAAGACAUGUCAACACUAGUCACGAGGGAAAUGCAAAUCAAAACCAUGAGAUAACACGGCACAUUCACUUGGAUGGCUCUGGUUUAGAAAGGGAAAAAAAUAAGCCUUGGGAUGUGGAGAAAUUGAACUCUCAUAAAGUGCUAGUGGGAAUGUAGUAGCCACUCAGCACCUAGUUAGAAGUUCACCGGAAAGUGGAACAGAUCUGCCGUGGGACCUGGCAAUUCCACGGUAGAGGUGGACACUGGAGUAUUUAACCAAGAGAGCGGAAAACACAUUCACCCAAAAACUGUGCAAAAUAUCUCCAGCAGCGUUAUUCACGAGAGCCUAAAAGGGUCAACUGACCAGAUGUCCAUCAACAGCAAGUGUGUGAGCAAAACGUGGAGUAGACACCUGGAGGAAUGAAGUACUAAUUUAGUCAGCUCUUUGGCUGCUGUGACUAAAAGACCGACCAGCACGACUGUAGGGGAGAAGUUUAUUUGAGGGCUCAAGGUUUCAGAGGUCUUGGUCCAUAGAAGGCCGGCUCCUUUCCUGGGGCUCCGGGUGAGGCUGAACGUGAUGGUGGAAGAGUGUGGCAGAAGGAAGCAGCUCACGUGACGAUCAGGAAGCAGAGAGAGACCUCCACUCCCCAGAAACAAAAUACACGCCCCGUAGCCGCGUCCCCCAUGAAUGACUUCCCCCAGCCACACCCGCUGCCUCCAGUUACCACGGGGCUCAUCCCAUCAGGGAUUCAUUCGCUGAUUAUGUUAAGGCCAUGACCCCAUCACUUCUCCUCCAAACCUUCUCGCAUUGCCUCACACGGGAGUUUUGGGGGGAAACUCACCUCCCAUCCAAACCAUACCCAGUACCUGUCCACAGUACCGCACGGAUAACCCUGGGGAACACUGGGCUAAAUGAGGACAGUCAGGCACCAAGCCAUACGCCGUGCGAUUCCAGUGCCGACCAAUGUCCGGAAUAGGCACACCCUUAGACACAGAAGGAGGUCAGCGGUUGCCAGGGGUUGGGGACAUGGAGGAGAAAGGGAGUGAGUGACUGCUCAUGGUUUCUUUCAGGGCUGUUGAAAAUGUCCUGGCAUUAAACUGUGUGACAGUGCCCCAAUCCUGUGACCACACCAAGCCCGUGCAUUUAAAACAGCAAAUUCCAUGAGAUAGGAAGACCUCGCUAUUUGGAGACUGGAACGGCAGACGGACAAUAUUAACUGCCCGCCCCAAUAUCUGCUCCUAGGAUGGGGCAUGGCGUUUGGAACCCAGGAAGCCGUCUUGGGUGGUGAUGGGUGUCAGCCAGACAGAGGGAGCCCAGGCCCCAUGAUUAUGAGCUGCCUGCCUUAGGCCUCUUUUACAUUGGGAAGAAAUAAACGUCUUUUCAUUGAAGAAGAAAAAAGGUAACCCCUUGUUUUGCUCAUGCCUCUCGGCUUCCUCCUGCAACGGCUCGGCUGUUCUUGUCAGUGUCGACGGUGGCGGCUUGAAGCCCACGGACUGGAGUCUCAGGAUACUUGUUCACUCUCAACUCUGGAAGAUGAUGGUGGCCAUUGGCUGGCAGAUAGGACACCUAGCUGUCCAUGGGACUGGGCUUCCUGCCAUCCCAGAACUCAAGGGGCAUCCUAAAUAGGAGACACAGAGGCUCCCCAGGUAGGUGUGACACCUUUUAUGACCUAGCCUCAGGGUCGAGGAAAGUGGGGUUGCUGAAGAGAUGAUCACCAUUAGAGACAAACCAAGUACUUUGCACAGGCACCGUGGGAAAGAUGCCUGAUGGCAUCUCAGGAAUCAGCAAGACCCCAGCCACUGCAGGAUCAAAGCGUAAACUCAUUUGAAAGGCUGCUUUGAGGGAAAAAAAAAUUAAAAUUGUGAAAGGAUAAAAACGUUAUGCCACACCAACACUAAUCAAAAGAAAAUUGGAAUGACCAUAUUAAUGUCAGUCAAAGCAGAUUCCAAACCAAAGAACAUAAUAAAGGGCUCAAUUUAUUACAGCAUUCUAAGGUUUCCCAGUCUGCAUCCCCAAACUUUUCUAAACUCCUCUCACAAACCAGUUCAAAGGCCUCUGAAUCACGUAGUCAGGUUAAUUACAGCAUGUGCCCACUUCUUGGUACCAGUUUCUGCUGUGCCCCAAGUGCCUGAUGAGAACAACUUGCAGAAGAAAAAGUUUAUUUUUGACUCACAGUUUCAGAGGCCUCAGCCCAUGGUCAGCCGUCUCCAUUUCUUUGGGCCUGAAGUGAGGCAGAACAGCGUGGUGUGGGGUGUGGAGAGGAGGGCUGCUCAGCUCCUGUCAGCCAGAAAAGCAAAGAGAGUUCGUGCUUCUACUUUUUUUUUUUAAAAGAGAGAGUGAGAGAGAAUUUUUUUAAUAUUUAUUUUUUAGUUUUCGGCGGACACAACAUCUUUGUUUGUAUGUGGUGCUGAGGAUCGAACCUGGGCCACACGCAUGCCAGGCGAGCGCGC